rnacentral:piRNA from 1 species
UGACCUUCAGAAGAUGAUAAAUUUUGGGU